CAAAGACUCAACAAAAGCUUUCUCAUCUCUGCUUGACUCCUAAUUAUUCUGUAAAGGGUCUCGUUGCUAGUUGGUGUGAACAGAAUGGAGUCCCAGCACCUGAUGGUCCCCCUGAGUCUCUUGACCUCAACUAUUGGAGGCUGGCAAUGUCCCAGCUUGACUCCUAAUUAUUCUGUAAAGGGUCUCGUUGCUAGUUGGUGUGAACAGAAUGGAGUCCCAGCACCUGAUGGUCCCCCUGAGUCUCUUGACCUCAACUAUUGGAGGCUGGCAAUGUCCCAGUUUGACUCGUCCAAUUCAAGAAGAUCAGUGGAGAGUGUCAGAUCUGGAAAGUUGAAAGGGGUCAAGGUAGUUCCUCUGGAGGAAAGUGAUCCCAUUGAGGAGGCUGAAGAAAAAAAUGAAAAAUUGUCACCGCAACAGGAAGAUUCCAUGCCAGAAGAUGCCUUCGGGGACAAUAUAUUUGAAAUAUAUAAGAAUUUCCUGGCCAUUUUGAAUGGUGAUGAAGAGUUGAAGAA
rnacentral:lncRNA from 1 species